UACACUCCUGCGGGAGGCAGCAGUGGGGAAUUUUGGACAAUGGGCGAAAGCCUGAUCCAGCAAUGCCGCGUGAGUGAAGAAGGCCUUCGGGUUAUAAAGCUCUUUUGUCAGGGAAGAAACGGUGAAAGCUAAUAUCUUUUGCUAAUGACGGUACCUGAAGAAUAAGCACCGGCUAACUACGUGCCAGCAGCCGCGGUAAUACGUAGGGUGCAAGCGUUAAUCGGAAUUACUGGGCGUAAAGCGUGCGCAGGCGGUUUUGUAAGUCUGAUGUGAAAUCCCCGGGCUCAACCUGGGAAUUGCAUUGGAGACUGGAAGGCUAGAAUCUGGCAGAGGGGGGUAGAAUUCCACGUGUAGUAGUGAAAUGCGUAGAUAUGUGGAGGAACACCGAUGGCGAAGGCAGCCCCCUGGGUCAAGAUUGACGCUCAUGCACGAAAGCGUGGGGAGCAAACAGGAUUAGAAACCCUUGUAGUCCCAUG
rnacentral:rRNA from 1 species